GCGAAUCAGUCUUAACACCAGUACUUUGUCCCUCUUUUCAAUGCUUUUGUGUCAAUUAUUUUAUUAAAUAAUAUAAAGUGUUGGGGCAAAUGCCAGUUCAGCAAUGGACAGAUAGAAUUCACCACAUAAUUCUACAAAUGAGGAAACACAGAGUAAGUAUGUACACAGAAGUAUGUGGACACCCCUUCAAAUUAGUGGAUUUGGCUGUUUCAGCCACACCUGUUGCUGACAGGUGUAUAAAAUCGAGCACACAGCCAUGCAAUCUCCAUAGACAAACACUGGCAGUAGAAUGGCCAUACUGAAGAGCUCAGUGACCUUCAAUGUGGCACCUUUCCAACAAGUUAGUUGGUCAAAUUUCUGCCCCGCUAGUGCUGCUAUUGUGAAGUGGAAACGUCUAGGAGCAACAACGGCUGUGGUAGACCACAGAACAGGACCGCCGAGUGCUGAAGCCCGUGGCAACACUCACUACCGAGUUCCAAACUAUGGAAGCAGUUUGGGGAAGGCCCUUUCCUGUUUCACCAUGACAAUGCCCCCCCCCCCGUGCACCAAGUCAGGUCCAUACAAAAGUGGUGUGGAAGAACUUGACUGGCCUGCACAGAACCCUGUCCUCAAUCCCAUCGAACACCUUUAAGAUGAAUUGGAACGACGACUGCGAACCAGACCUAAUCGCUCAACAUCAGUGCCCGACCUCACUAAUGCUCUUGUGGCAAGUCCCCCUGCAGCAAUGUUCCUACAUCUAGUGGAAAGCCUUCCCAGAAGAGUGGAGGCUGUUAUAGCAGCAAUGUUCCAACAUCUAGUGGAAAGCCUUCCCAGAAGAGUGGAGGCUGUUAUAGCAGCAAUCAAAGGGGGGGCCGGACCAACUCCAUACUAAUGCCCAUGAUUUUGAAAUGAGAUGUGUGACGACCAGGUGUCCACAUACUUUUGUCCAUGUAGUGUAUGUAUGCUCUGUCGAAAUGGUUUUAGUUAGAAGCUCAAAAUGUUGAGGCAGUGUCGACAUUUAAUUGUAUUUUGGGUGGCAGGAAUGGGCUUCCAUUAAUACAACUAUCCCAGGCUCGCUCCCUCCCCCUUCUCCUCAGAGUCGUGUGAUUCGCUCCAGAAUUUGAAUGAUUAGCAUAUCACUCAGUAAAGCCACACCCCCUUAGUCCCACAGUUACCAGGCUCUACGUAACAGUAACAGCAGCCUGGGGACGAGACCAGACAGGAACAGGGUUUAGUAUCUACGGCUACUAAAGCUGAGUAUCAGCAGGCCCUGUGUUUCUAUAUUCAGCCAUCUUGUUCCAGUGCUGAGGAAAAUCCUCCUCUUUCUCACACGUGUGUGUGUGUGAAUAUCCAAGUCAUUGUUUUUUAUAUUUUUUAUAUCAGUUCCCUGUUGAAAGUUCGUCAUGUUAAACUGAAGAGUUGAAGGAUCUCUAGACUGUGAGCCUGAUGGAAACCUACUGCCUGGUCAAUACGGUGCCAUUCUGGUCUCAGCACAUAAAGGAUGUUACUCUGAUAGACUGAAGGCAGCACAUCCACAAAGCCCUGGGACUUAGACAACGUUGUAGACACACACACACACACACAAUCCUUUUAACCUUCCCCGCCUCGCAGAUACAAACACAAAACACGCAAUGACAAAACAGACAGAAGCUUUAUGUUUCCGUCAGGAGAAACGUAACCUUUCCUAAAGGCUUAUCAGUGAAUAGUUAAGCAGCAGGAUAUUUACAUUGUCCAAAAUGGCACCCUAUUCCCUUUUAUAGAGCACUACUUUAGAUCAGAGUCCACAUUGGGCUAAGGCCAACGUUAGUGCACUAAACUGGGAAUAGAGUUCCAUUUUAGAUUAGUCCAGAGACAUUCUAAAUCAUUUUAGUUCCAGGUCAGAGUUCAGCCAAUGGCACUGCAAUUCACAACCAUGUGAUCCUGACAGGACAGGUGGGUUGCUAUGCCCGUUUCCCUGGCGACCGCCUCACACCCACCGGCGAAUCCCCAUCGAGCAGGAACAUGACAGAGGGAAGAGGCACUUUUUUGAUUGGCUGGUUUUCAUUGUUCCAAAGUUGUUUUUUAGUCACCUCUUGCCAUCGACUCCAGGUUUGGUUGUAGUUCUCCAUCUCGCCGCCAGAUGGGAGUGUUGCUGUAAUUCCUCCAUCUCACCACCAGAUGUGAGUGUUGCUGUAAUUCCUCCAUCUCACCACCAGAUGGUGGUAGUGUUGCUGUAAUUCCUCCAUCUCACCACCAGAUGGUGGUAGUGUUGCUGUAAUUCCUCCAUCUCACCACUAGAUGGUGGUAGUGUUGCUGUAAUUCCUCCAUCUCACCACCAGAUGGUGGUAGUGUUGCUGUAAUUCCUCCAUCUCACCACUAGAUGGUGGUAGUGUUGCUGUAAUUCCUCCAUCUCACCACCAGAUGGUGGUAAUGUUGCUGUAGUUUUCCAUCUCACCACUGGGUUGUAGUGGCGUCAGUCAGGGCCUGAUGCAGGAAGGCACUUCGUAGGGAGGCUCUGGGGCAGUUAGGAGGACUGGAGCUCUGAUCUGCUAUGUCAUCAGGAUGGGCUUCUGUCUCACCUCCAGGAUAUCUGAUGACAGACAACAGAGUCAAUGAGCAGUCAAUACUGUAAUUUACACGACAGGGAAAGUCCAUAAUGGCUCCCUGUCCUCUAGAAAGUGUAAAGAAUCUAGAUUAGAAGACCCUAGCCGCACCCUCAGAGCAUGUCCUCUAGAAAGUGUAAAGAAUCUAGAUUAGAAGACCCUAGCCGCACCCUCAGAGCAUGUCCUCUAGAAAGUGUAAAGAAUCUAGAUUAGAAGACCCUAGCCGCACCCUCAGAGCAUGUCCUCUAGAAAGUGUAAAGAAUC
ensembl:lncRNA